UUCGGUUGUUUGCUUGGCUUUUUAGCCUUGUGGCUGGCCGUUUCUCGGGGCGGCUUCGUGGAUGUCUAUCGUAAAAGGUGCAUGAGUGGUGUUUGGUUUGAUACGGGUGGUUGGCUCCCUGCUUGAGCAGGCACGGCCAUGCGUACAUUCCUUUUCAGUUUUGCGGAAAGGCUUGUAUCGCCUUGAUCGUAAAUGUGGGUUUCCUGUGUUGCAUACCUGAUCAACGGCAUCGUUUUGAUAAAAAAAAAUGUACCUUUUUUCGUCAGGCGUUGCACCUGCAACGUCAGAUGAACCAUGCUAGCAUCCUCUUUGAUCCAUAUGGUCGAUGAGCAUUUGUCGAUUGUUUGGCCCAUUGAGUGGUGACUCGGUCUCUAGGAUAUGGAAGCCAAAGUGGGCAUGGGUUCGUAUGAUCCUUUUAUUGCCCUCGUUGAGCGUUCUCGCUUCUCUUACACGACCGCCUUUCAUGCAUGGCUCAUCCUAGCGUGUUUGGCUACGUCGAAGAGGAA
rnacentral:misc_RNA from 1 species